GUGGAAAAAUAAUUCAUUUCAAUGUGAAUGAAUAAUAUUACUAAUUCUAUGAAUCAAAAACUUGAACAUUGAACUCACAUGUGGAUAUUAUUAUCUCUUGGUGUUGAUUAAAAGUAGUUUGGAUUGAGAAAUUCACUCACGUACAUGUUAUUACAUAUAAUAUUAAUGAUAAUAAUAAUAAUAAUGGUUGAAUAGUGAUCUGAAGAGCCCUCCAAGUGGAUUCUUUGUGGUCGUCGAUUGGGGGUUUGAUUCAGAGCCACAACUUGCUACGACACUGUAAUUAUAUCAUUUUGGUGUCACGCGACUUGGAAAGUACACCACAACAUGAAGAGCUAAAGAAUGAUGUCCCACGUGGCUAGUUGAGUGUCCUCAAUGUCACUGGAUCAUGUGAAGAAUUGAAAUGGUCACUCAUAGAAAAAAAAGAUCUAGAAAAGCUGUGAUAGAUAGCAAAGCAUGUAACCACCUUCCGGCGCAAUUUACCUCCCAAGAGACAUUGUUAAAU